AAACAUGGCUCUUUGAUAUUUUUUAAUAAAGAGUCGAGCCUGCCCAGUGAAUUUUUUUUUAACGGCCGCAGUACCCUGACUGUGCAAAGGUAGCAUAAUCAUUUGCCCUAUAAUUGAGGGCUGGAAUGAAUGGUUUAACAAGAACAUAGCUGUCUCCUAUAAAAUAAAUAUAAAUUAAUUUUUAGGUGAAGACUCCUAAAUUUUACUAAAAGACGAGAAGACCCUUUUGAGCUUUAAAAAUAAUUAUAGAAAUUCUAUUUUUAUUUUUUGGUUGGGGCGACCUAGGAACAAAAAUCUUCCUUUUUAUUAUUAACACUAGUUAUGAUCCAUUAUAAUUGAUUUACUAAUAAGCUACCAUAGGGAUAACAGCGUAAUUUUCUUUAAAAGUUCUUAUUAAAAAGAAAGUUUGCGACCUCGAUGUUGGACUAAAGUUUCCCAAAGGUGCAAAAGCCUUUAAAGGUAAGUCUGUUCGACUAUUAAAACUUUACAUGAUCUGA
rnacentral:rRNA from 1 species